rnacentral:rRNA from 1 species
UACGAAGGGGGCUAGCGUUGUUCGGAAUUACUGGGCGUAAAGCGCACGUAGGCGGGUUGUUAAGUCAGGGGUGAAAUCCUGGAGCUCAACUCCAGAACUGCCUUUGAUACUGGCAACCUAGAGACUGGAAGAGGUUAGUGGAAUUCCCAGUGUAGAGGUGAAAUUCGUAGAUAUUCGGAAGAACACCAGUGGCGAAGGCGACUUACUGGACACAUAUUGACGCUGAGGUGCGAAAGCGUGGGGAGCAAACAGG